rnacentral:rRNA from 1 species
CACCGGUGGCCCGAGUGGUGAUCGUUAUUAUUGGGUCUAAAGGGUCCGUAGCCGGUUUGGUCAGUCCUCCGGGAAAUCUGUCAGCUCAACUGAUAGGCUUUCGGGGGAUACUGCCAGACUUGGAACCGGGAGAGGUAAGAGGUACUACAGGGGUAGGAGUGAAAUCUUGUAAUCCCUGUGGGACCGCCUGUGGCGAAGGCGUCUUACCAGAACGGGUACGACGGUGAGGGACGAAAGCUGGGGGCACGAACCGGAUUAGAUACCCGGGUAGUCCCAGCCGUAAACGAUGCUCGCUAGGUGCCAUGCAUGGUGCGACCGUGUAUGGUGCCGUAGGGAAGCCGUGAAGCGAGCCACCUGGGAAGUACGGCCGCAAGGCUGAAACUUAAAGGAAUUGGCGGGGGGGCACAACAACGGGUGGAGCCUGCGGUUU